CAGUAGCCACGGUAAUACGUAGGGUGCGAGCGUUAAUCGGAAUUACUGGGCGUAAAGCGUGCGUAGGUGGUGGUUUAAGUCCGUUGUGAAAGCCCUGGGCUCAACCUGGGAAUUGCAGUGGAUACUGGGUCACUAGAGUGUGGUAGAGGAUAGUGGAAUUUCCGGUGUAGCAGUGAAAUGCGUAGAGAUCGGAAGGAACAUCUGUGGCGAAGGCGACUAUCUGGGCCAACACUGACACUGAGGCACGAAAGCGUGGGGAGCAAACAGGAUUAGAUACCCGAGUAGUCCCUGUCUCUUAUAC
rnacentral:rRNA from 1 species